rnacentral:rRNA from 1 species
UACGAAGGGGGCGAGCGUUUGUUCGGAAUUACUGGGCGUAAAGGGCGCGCAGGCGGCCUUAGAAGUCAGAUGUGAAAGCCCCGGGCUCAACCUGGGAAUGGCAUUUGAUACUCUGAGGCUGGAGUACGGGAGAGGAGAGUGGAAUUCCCAGUGUAGAGGUGAAAUUCGUAGAUAUUGGGAAGAACACCGAUGGCGAAGGCAGCCCCCUGGGCUGACACUGACGCUCAGGCACGAAAGCGUGGGGAGCAAACAGG